rnacentral:rRNA from 1 species
GGGGUGCUCGAGUGGCGAACGGGUGAGUAACACGUGAGUAACCUGCCCUUGACUUUGGGAUAACUUCAGGAAACUGGGGCUAAUACCGGAUAGGAGCUCCUGCUGCAUGGUGGGGGUUGGAAAGUUUCGGCGGUUGGGGAUGGACUCGCGGCUUAUCAGCUUGUUGGUGGGGUAGUGGCUUACCAAGGCUUUGACGGGUAGCCGGCCUGAGGGGGUGACCGGCCACAUUGGGACUGAGAUACGGCCCAG